rnacentral:rRNA from 1 species
GACGAACGCUGGCGGCGCGCUUAACACAUGCAAGUCGAGCGAGAACCAGGGCUUCGGCCCUGGGGACAGCGGCGAACGGGUGAGUAACACGUGGAUAACCUGCCCUCGGCACCGGGAUAGCCCGGGGAAACUCGGAUUAGUACCGGAUAGCCCUUCCGACUCUCGAGUCGGUCCGAAAAGGUAGCUUCGGCCUCUGGCCGAGGAUGGGUCCGCGGCGGAUUAGCUUGUUGGUGGGGUAACGGCCUACCAAGGCNCCGAUCCGUAGCUGGUCUGAGAGGACGAUCAGCCACACUGGGACUGAGACACGGCCCAGACUCCUACGGGAGGCAGCAGUGGGGAAUCUUGCGCAAUGGGCGAAAGCCUGACGCAGCGACGCCGCGUGAGGGAAGAAGGCCUGG